AAAGGAGGUUGUGGUGAGGUGGACAUCAGGCUCUUCUCCCAGGACUUGGACUGUCACUGUCUGCACUCCAGAAAGGACGGGAAGUGACAAAGGAUGCUAAAUUGCCUUUAGUAGAUGGGUGGGUGAAAUGUUAUAGAACACUGAAACAAGGUUUCCAGGGAGCUUGGCUGUAUUCAAAAGAGACAAACUAGCCUUUGUACAUAUGGGAAGAUUUCUGUGUCAAACGUACAAGAGCAACGUGUUCCAGUCCUCCCCUGUUCAGGUUGUCUGUCUGUCUAAGAUGAAGAGCCCCCGAUGCCAUGAAUACUGUCUUCAUCUUAUGAGGUUCCCGAGAAAGACAACACUGGACCACCAUGUUUCCCUAGUUCUAAGGGGGAGAUUCUGCAAGAACUAACAGAAGUCCAUUGAAAGCCUUUAUGCUGUACAAACAACCAAAACACACACACAGAUUCCCUACAGCCUGGCCAUUGCUAGGAAUAAUGCUGCCAAAAGACACGGUCCAAGCUCUAUUACAAUCUCAAGUCAUGAAACAAGAAGGCAACAUGGAGAUGAGGAUUGUGAAGGUCAUCAUGGAACCAUGGACAAAUCAAGGAUUCCUGCCUGCGCUGAUAAUCUAAUGUGAAUCUUCAUGAUGUGAACAUCCUCUUUUCCCCCCUGGGAAGUGUUAAGUGACACCUUCCUCAUUUGUCAGCACAUCCAAUUGUAAAUUCAUUAUGGAAAGGAAAAUCAUGUCUCAAAGCUUGGCUUACUAGCAAAGGAAACUCACACUCUUCCAGUGAAGUACAGAAGCAAUGGUUAGCCCCUAUUUAAUCCUAGAGAAGAGAACUGCAGCUACUAAGCUAAAUUUAAAGCUUUUGCAGCAAUUGUAGUUAGUUAAAGGAGGUAGCCCAAGAAGCAUGGCUGGAGGAAGAAAACCACAGCAACCUAUGGGGAAGAGUUGGCAGCCAACAAGACUUCUCUGAGGUCCUUGAGGAGGCCACAAAGCAGCUAGAGUUACAGUUGGGUUGUAGUUUACUGGACCUGUGUAGAAGAGAGAAAAGUGUUUCUCCUCUACAGAGAUUUAUUUGCAGAAGAACUCAAAGGGAAGAAGAUUAUGGACACAGAACAGCAUUCCCAGAACUGACUGCAGUCCUACAAACCCUGCCAUACCUAAAGCUAUGCAGUAGUGUUGCAUUAGAUAAAUCAUUCUUUUCUCCACAGGUUUUGGUCCUGACAGGUUUAUAAAUAAGAUUAGCAAAUUCACUUUGGUUUGAGAUUAAUUGGAGCACUUUCUGCACACAGCUAACCUAAUUUCACAGAGUGGAUUUUAAAAAAAUAAUAAAUAAAAAU